rnacentral:rRNA from 1 species
CCUACGGGUGGCUGCAGUGAGGAAUAUUGGUCAAUGGACGAGAGUCUGAACCAGCCAAGUAGCGUGAAGGAUGACUGCCCUAUGGGUUGUAAACUUCUUUUAUAUGGGAAUAAAACGUUUCACGUGUGGGAUUUUGUAUGUACCAUAUGAAUAAGGACCGGCUAACUCCGUGCCAGCAGCCGCGGUAAUACGGAGGAUCCGGGCGUUAUCCGGAUUUAUUGGGUUUAAAGGGAGCGUAGGUCGAUUGUUAAGUCAGUUGUGAAAGUUUGGGGCUCAACCGUAACAUUGCAGUUGAAACUGGCAGGCUUGAGUCCAGUAGAGGUGGGCGGAAUUCGUGGUGUAGCGGUGAAAUGCUUAGAUAUCACGAAGAACUCCGAUUGCGAAGGCAGCUCGCUGGACUGGAACUGACACUGAGGCUCGAAAGUGUGGGUAUCAAACAGGAUUAGAUACCCGAGUAGUC